AAAGAAGUUAGUUAAUUUAAUAAUAUUGAAAUGUCAUAUCAAAGUAAUAUUUUACUUCUU
rnacentral:tRNA from 1 species